AGAGUUUGAUCAUGGCUCAGAUUGAACGCUGGCGGUAUGCUUUACACAUGCAAGUCGAACGGGGUUAGAGCUUGCUCUAACUGAGUGGCGAACGGGUGAGUAAUAUAUCGGAACAUAUCCGGAAGUGGGGGAUAACGUAGCGAAAGUUACGCUAAUACCGCAUAUGCCCUGAGGGGGAAAGGGGGGGAUCGCAAGACCUCUCGCUUUCGGAGUGGCCGAUACCGGAUUAGCUAGAUGGUGAGGUAAAGGCUCACCAUGGCGACGAUCCGUAGCGGGUCUGAGAGGACGACCCGCCACACUGGAACUGAGACACGGUCCAGACUCCUACGGGAGGCAGCAGUGGGGAAUUUUGGACAAUGGGCGCAAGCCUGAUCCAGCCAUACCGCGUGAGUGAAGAAGGCCUUCGGGUUGUAAAGCUCUUUCAGCUGGGAAGAAACGGGUAUGCUUAAUAAGUGUGUCUAAUGACGGUACCAGCAGAAGAAGCACCGGCUAACUACGUGCCAGCAGCCGCGGUAAUACGUAGGGUGCGAGCGUUAAUCGGAAUUACUGGGCGUAAAGCGUGCGCAGGCGGUUUGAUAAGCCAGAUGUGAAAUCCCCGGGCUUAACCUGGGAACUGCAUUUGGAACUGUCAGACUAGAGUGUAGCAGAGGGGGGUAGAAUUCCACGUGUAGCAGUGAAAUGCGUAGAUAUGUGGAGGAAUACCAAUGGCGAAGGCAGCCCCCUGGGUUAACACUGACGCUCAUGCACGAAAGCGUGGGGAGCAAACAGGAUUAGAUACCCUGGUAGUCCACGCCCUAAACGAUGUCAACUAGUUGUUGGGGGAGGAGACUUCCUUAGUAACGCAGCUAACGCGUGAAGUUGACCGCCUGGGGAGUACGGUCGCAAGAUUAAAACUCAAAGGAAUUGACGG
rnacentral:rRNA from 1 species